GGCGCGUUGGCAGAGUGGUUAUGCAGCGGAUUGCAAAUCCGUGGACAUCGGUUCGAUUCCGGUACGCGCCUCCA
rnacentral:tRNA from 3 species